CUUUAUAGUCAUUAGUUCAUACAUUGCGUUUAUGACUCAUGCUCUCAUAAUACAGAGUAUAUUUCUGCUGACCUUUCAAGUGACCACUGGCCCAUUUCCAAGCUCGGCCACGGUAACGCCGGGCCUCGCCAUAACAGAAAACGCCGGAGCCCAAAGACCGCAGGACGCGAGCGCAGCAUCAGAUCUGCCAUCUGACGGCGGAUCCAGCCAGAGCCUGUUGGAGCCUCCACAGCAGAUGGACGUGAAUUAUUGUAUGCAGACACACAAACAGGCGCACGGACAGAUGGAGACUGAUGCGGCUUCGACUGGCGCUGCUGCAGCCGAUGACGACCACGAAGCAUUUGGCCAGGUCACGGGCACAGAUGGCGGACACCUAGCGACUUCACUGGCGAGCUGCAGCGUGUUAGAUUUGCA